CGAACUGUGCAAACGUUAUUCGGAAUCACUGGGCUUACAGGGUGCGUAGGCGGCUUGUUAAGUAGGGUGUGAAAGCCCCCGGCUCAACCGGGGAAUGGCGCCCUAAACUGGCGAGCUGGAGUGAGAUAGGGGUGUGCGGAACUUCCGGUGGAGCGGUGAAAUGUGUUGAUAUCGGAAGGAACGCCGGUGGCGAAAGCGGCACACUGGAUCUCAACUGACGCUGAGGCACGAAAGCCAGGGGAGCGAACGGGAUUAGAUACCCCGGUAGUCCUGGCUGUAACCGAUGAGCACUAGCUGGGAGGGACGUAGGUCCUUCCCAACGGAGCGAAAGUGUUAAGUGCUCCGCCUGGGGAGUAUGGUCGCAAGGCUG
rnacentral:rRNA from 1 species